CUGAGUCAUUUGAUGAUGCUUGACGGCCAAGCUUAUAAACAUAUUUACAAUCAAUUAUUAGGGUGAAAGUGGCUGUUUCUAACUCUGAGGCAGUGUGUAGCCAAGAGGUUAGAGCAUUUGCUUGUCUCACCAAAGGUCCAGGUUCGAUAUCACAACAUGUGAAACCUUUUUUCUCUUGUCACCAGCUGCCGUAUUGCAAAUAUACUUAAUACACUAACUCAAAAUACAUAUUGUUAGUGGAAAGUGUAGUAAAAUAUUUAUGUCUUCUUCUUAUCAAUUACAAACAUGAUAAAUGCUUUGAUGAAUCUUCAAUUGGUUUAAGGUGGCAUAUUGGAAAUUGUUAUUUUAUAUUGUUUGAACAGUUAACUGACAUCUCUGUCCUGGAGCUGCUUUUGUUUGUUUGUUUGUUUGUUUGUUUAUUUGUUUGUCAUCGUGGUAGUGGUACACUAGCUCUCAUUCAUAUAUUAGUAGGUUCAUUGUCAGGUUGCAAGUUAUUUGUUUUGUUUGUUUUCCAGCAAGAUUAAAAUAUAUUUCCAUUUUGUUUGGAUGCAAAAUAAGUUGUCAAGAAAAAAAAUAAUUUGGGAUCCAAACAGCAGUUUUAUAAAAUAUACAAUUUUCAGUUAACAGAAAGGGGCAUAGAAUGAUGAUUAAUCCUGCAGAAAUAGCCAGCACAAAAUUGUCCCCCCUUUUUACAAAGAUUUAGUCAUUUCUGUCUUCAUAAUAAU